GCCUAUAGCCAUGCCACCCUGAAUAUACCCAAUCCCAUCUGAUCUUGGAAGCUAAGCAGGGUCAGGCCUGGUUAGUACUUGGAUGGGAGACCACCUAGGAAGACCAGGUGCUGUAGGUG
rnacentral:rRNA from 1 species